UUGGGAAAAUGGGAAGAUACGCAGUUGGAGACGCUGUGUACUCGUAUGAAGCCAGCUUUCUAUGGUGACCGAACUCUCGUCAUCCGGGAGGGGGAACCCAUCAGUGAAAUUCUCUUUGUGCUGCGAGGAAAGCUAUGGACAUACACCUCCUCCAGGGCCGACAUUGGUGAUAGCAAUGGCGAAAAUGUUCGUUUAAGAGCGCUAUCAUUGGCAAAGAACUUGUCAGCUGGAUUCAAGCUCAACCGAACUCAUCUACCCUCCCAAUCUCAACCAGAACCAUUCGAACGCUGAGGCAUGUGGAAGCCAUCGCCGUUACAGCCUAUGACUUGAAAGACGUGUUCAUUAAUAAGCCAAAAUCACCAGAAAUAAGCCCCAGAUCACUCCUCAAGAAGUGCAAUUUAACCUGGUUAUUCCGUUCACGAAACAGGGAUCUUUGAAUGCUUACAGCUGUGGAGCCGGAAGCCGUCAUCGCUUGGAUUCAAUAUUGCCAGAGCUUACUUUGAUUUAAACCGUUCUUUUUAUUUUAUUUUUUUGGAAUAAUUAUGGCUUUCGCUGAUACACAUUAUGUUUUCUUGUUAUUCUACAUUCAUGCUUUUUGCUUUAAUAAGGCCUAAUCCUGCUUUGCUUUUA